UAUUAGUAACAAUAAUAGGGAUAUUUAGGAACAAAAUAAAAAGAUUAUUUUUUGGCUGAUGGAAAACUGACUUAUUCACCUUCUAGGUAGAUCAGACUUUCAUCUUAUUUUAUUAAUAAAUGCUAUCCAUAGAAAAAUAAUUUAUCCAUUAGAAAAGCUAUGAAAACAUAGAUAAGUUAGUGGAUGUGAAAGUUGAUCAAUUUUAUCAUGAUAUUAUCCACCAAAUAAUGGGCCCCA
rnacentral:lncRNA from 1 species